UAGGGAAUCUUCCGCAAUGGACGCAAGUCUGACGGAGCAACGCCGCGUGAGUGAAGAAGGUUUUCGGAUCGUAAAACUCUGUUGUUAGAGAAGAACAAGUGCUAGAGUAACUGUUAGCGCCUUGACGGUAUCUAACCAGAAAGCCACGGCUAACUACGUGCCAGCAGCCGCGGUAAUACGUAGGUGGCAAGCGUUGUCCGGAUUUAUUGGGCGUAAAGCGAGCGCAGGCGGCUCCUUAAGUCUGAUGUGAAAGCCCCCGGCUCAACCGGGGAGGGUCAUUGGAAACUGGGGAACUUGAGUGCAGAAGAGGAGAGUGGAAUUCCAUGUGUAGCGGUGAAAUGCGUAGAUAUAUGGAGGAACACCAGUGGCGAAGGCGACUCUCUGGUCUGUAACUGACGCUGAGGCUCGAAAGCGUGGGUAGCAAACAGGAUUAGAUACCCUGGUAGUCCACGCCGUAAACGAUGAGUGCUAAGUGUUGGAGGGUUUCCGCCCUUCAGUGCUGCAGUUAACGCAUUAAGCACUCCGCCUGGGGAGUACGACCGUAAGGUUG
rnacentral:rRNA from 1 species